rnacentral:lncRNA from 1 species
GGGAGCGUCCAUAGCACAGGCCAGGCAUCCAGCACAAGGGAGCUUCCUCACACCGUCAGCAUCAAGUAGGUUAAGUCCUCAUAUAUUUCUGUGCCAGAGACGCCUGUGGCUGGGUUGAGCAAGGAGCCAAACCCCUGGCUGGCCCCGCGAAUCUGCACAGCCUUCCUCACAGCGCAGGUCUGCACCUUGGAGGGCGUCUUCCAGCAGCACCAGUACCUGGGCCACCUGGAGCGAAAGAAGCUGGCCAAGAAGAUGCAACUCUCAGAGGUGCAGAUCAAAACCUGGUUUCGGCUGGGCGCAGUGGCUCACGCCUGUAAUCUCAGCGCUUUGGGAGACCCAGGCGGGUGGAUCACCUGAGGUCAGGAGUUUUGAGACCAGCCCAACCAACAUGGUGAAACCCGGUCUCUACUAAAAAAUACAAAGCUUAGCCGGGCGUCAUGGCGCAUGCUUGUAAUCCCAGCUACUCGGGAGUCUGAGGCAGGAGAAUCACUUGAACCCAGGAGGCAGAGGUUGCCAUGAGCCGGGAUCGCGCCAUUGCACUCUAGCCUGGGCAACAGAGCAAGACUCUAUCUCAAAACAAAAACAAAAACAAAACCUGGUUUCAGAAUCGCCAAAUGAAACACAAACGACAAAUGCAGGACUCCGAGUUGUACAUGCUUUCUGGGGCCUCGCCAUGUGCCUCGUGCUUUCCGCUGGCAAUCUUCUGUCCUGGCCAAUGGCCUGCAGCUGCUCUAGGCCACCCUUCCUGAGCCCCAGGCUCUGAUGAUGCCCCCUUGGCUCCUCCUGGGGUCUCUGCCAAGUGGAACAAGACGCCCUGGCCUCUUCAUGGGCUUUGUGUGGCAGCCAGCCUCUGACCUACCACCUCCUGGACCCUGGAAGCUGCGUGCACAUGCUGGGACCAGCCUUGUCCAUGGGUUCCUGGAGCCCAUGUGCUCCACCAGGGACCGAUGAUGACUUU